GGGAAUUUAGCUGAGUGGCAAAGUGCCUGCCUCAAAAGCACAAGGUCCUGAGUUUGAUUCCCAGUACCG
rnacentral:tRNA from 1 species